CACACAUGCCAGACAAGUGUGCUACCACUGAGCCCCAGCCCCAGGCCUAAGAACGCUAAUUUAUGAUGUGUUGCCCACUAUUCCUCGUGCUUCAGAGAUACCAGCUCAGCCAUUCCUGCAACAGGCCCACGGAGGAUUCCCACUUUGUAGAUGCAGACACUGAGGCAYAGAAUGGUUAAGGCACUUGCCCCAGGUCACAUGCUGGUACAAUGUGCUGGACCAGGAGAAGCCAUCCUGAUUACUCUCACCAGCUGUGAUCCAGUUGGGGAAAAUGCUUCUUCCUAAAGGUUAUGUGAGACCAAAGUUUGCUUCUUAGAGGGGAAUGCUUCUAACUGAAAACAAAGCAAGAAUUCCAUCUAGCUCUUGCCAUGACAACUGGUUGGUCACCUUAGAUUGACAGGUAUCUCAGACUCCUUGACCUUGCCAAGAGAAGAGAAAGCCAGGACAGAAGUCACCAGUUGUUAGGUGUCAUUGAUCUCAUUCAUUGGGAGAGUUUCAGCUCCAGAGAGAAGCUGUUUUUGCUGAGCCUGGGCUGCAGGAGAGAGGCAGGAACACAGACCCAUCUGUUGAAGAUUGGAACAUAAAUAGCCCCCUUUAAAA